CGGGAUGUGAGGUUCCCAAAACAAUCAGGAUGUUGGCUUAGAAGCAGCCAUCAUUUAAAGAAAGCGUAACAGCUCACUGAUCUAAAUAAGGAACUUUGCGCCGAAAAUGUAACGGGGAUUAAGCCAUAAGCCGAAGCUUAGGAUUCACCGCAAGGUGAAUGGUAGCAGAGUGUUCUGUAUGCCUGCGAAGGGUGAGCGUGAGCGAGCCUGGAGGUAUCAGAAGUAAGAAUGCUGACAUGAGUAGCGAUAAAGAGGGUGAGAGACCCUCUCGCCGUAAGUCCAAGGGUUCCUGCGUCAAGUUAAUCUGCGCAGGGUUAGCCGGCCCCUAAGGCAAGGCCGAAAGGCGUAGUCGAUGGGAAUGCGGUAAAUAUUCCGCAGCCUGCUGGAAGUGACGGAUCACGUAACUUGUUCGACCUUACUGGAUUGGUCGGGCCGGGAAGUGGUCCCAGGAAAUAGCUCCAGCUUAUAGCCCGUACCCUAAACCGACACAGGUGGACUGGCAGAGUAUGCUAAGGCGCUUGAGAGAACUGUAUUGAAGGAACUAGGCAAAUUGCUCUCGUAACUUCGGAAGAAGAGAGCCCGGUUUUUACGCAAGUAGAAGCCGGGGGCACAUAGCAGGGGGUGGCGACUGUUUACUAAAAACACAGGACGCUGCGAAAUCCAAAGAUGACGUAUAGCGUCUGACGCCUGCCCGGUGCUGGAAGGUUAAGAGGAGAUGUGAAAGCGUUGAAUCGAAGCCCCAGUAAACGGCGGCCGUAACUAUAACGGUCCUAAGGUAGCGAAAUUCCUUGUCGGGUAAGUUCCGACAUGCACGAAAGGCGUAACGACUUCCCCACUGUCUCCAAUACAGGCUCAGCGAAAUUGAAUUCCCCGUGAAGAUGCGGGGUUCCCGCGGUCAGACGGAAAGACCCCGUGCACCUUUACUGCAACUUUACACUGGCAUUAGGAAUGGGAUGUGUAGAAUAGGUGGUAGGCAUUGAAACCGCGGCGCUAGCUGUGGUGGAGCCGAAAUGUGAAAUACCACCCUUCUUGUUCCUGAUGUCUAACCGCGAUCCUGAAACGGGAUCCGAGACAGUGUAUGGUAGGCAGUUUGACUGGGGCGGUCGCCUCCCAAAGAGUAACGGAGGCGCGCGAUGGUAGGCUCAAUCCGGUCGGAAAUCGGAUGGUGAGUGCAAUGGCAAAAGCCUGCCUGACUGCAAGGUCGACGGACCAAGCAGAGACGAAAGUCGGUCAUAGUGAUCCGGUGAUCCCGCAUGGAAGGGUCAUCGCUCAACGGAUAAAAGGUACGCCGGGGAUAACAGGCUAAUCGCACCCAAGCGUCCAUAGCGACGGUGCGGUUUGGCACCUCGAUGUCGGCUCAUCACAUCCUGGGGCUGUAGCCGGUCCCAAGGGUAUGGCUGUUCGCCAUUUAAAGUGGUACGUGAGCUGGGUUUAGAACGUCGUGAGACAGUUCGGUCCCUAUCUGCCGUGGGUGUUCGAAACUUGAGAAGACUUUUUCCUAGUACGAGAGGACCGGAAAGAACGUAUCUCUGGUGGAUCGGUUGUCACGCCAGUGGCAUAGCCGAGUAGCUAAAUACGGACGAGAUAACCGCUGAAAGCAUCUAAGCGGGAAACUCACUUCAAAACUAGGUUUCGCUUGAGAGCCGGGGAAGACUACCCCGUCGAUAGGCCAGGUGUGUAAGCGCAGCAAUGCGUUGAGCUUACUGGUACUAAUUGCUUGAAAAG
rnacentral:rRNA from 1 species